GGCUGGCCCAAGUACAGUGGUAUUUACAACUAGUUGAUCACAGUUACAGAUGCCUUUGUUCCUUCUCCACUCCCACUGUUUCUCUUGACUAGCCUUAA
ensembl:misc_RNA Y_RNA Y RNA